rfam:Ipomoea nil DNA, scaffold: scaffold2297, cultivar: Tokyo-kokei standard.
GGAUGCAUCAUACCAGCACUAAUGCACCGGAUCCCAUCAGAACUCCGAAGUUAAGCGUGCUUGGGCGAGAGUAGUACUAGGAUGGGUGAACCCCCUGGAAGUCCUCGUGUUGCAUCCC